rnacentral:lncRNA from 1 species
CCGCGACGGCGACGGUGUACUCCGGGAUCUUGGCCGAGUCCUCGGAGCCCACGAACAAUAAGUGGAGGACGGGCGUCAUGAUCACCAGCGCCGUCAGGGCGCCGAGGAUGGCCGGCAUGGCGUCCCAGAAAUCCUUCCGCAGAUUGCACCCGCCGCCGCCGCCGCCGCCGCCGCCGCCGCCGUCGAUGUCGUCGUCUCGAGCUGCCGCCAUGGCGCGCGCUGUUAGCUUCUCUCCCGCCGGGCUUCCCUCUUCUUCUUGGUCUGGCUUGUUGUUGUGCGGCUACGUUGUAUAUAUAUAGGAUGUGAAGGGUGUUUGUUUGUGUGCCGUACGUCCAUGAGUUGGGCAAAUGACAUAGAUCGACUAUAAUGCACG